rnacentral:lncRNA from 1 species
CAAACGUUAGAUUUUUCCUCCUUAUCUCUCUUUAUCUUCUCACUCUCGUCUCUGCUGUCAUCUUCUCGCCACCACCACACCUGGUGCCCCAUCAUCUUCGAUGAUGGACGCUAGUUUUAUCAUGUUCCCAUCACGCUUGCUUGAUGGUGCCUACACCACUGCAAUAGUGGUUGACAUUGCUGCUGUAGGAAUGGGGUGCCAUCGACGCUGCUAGACGAGUGGUGGGUGUUGCCUCUCUAUCUUCCUUCUACCUUCUCUUUCUUUCUUCUCUAUGCUCAACUCUCUUUGUGACUUCUAGUUUAGGUCUGGUGUUUGGGUUGCGAUUUUGUUGGUGUUCGGGCGAUGAUUGGUACGCUUGUGAUCUAGUGUUUAGGUGACAGUGUUGGAGCUAGUUAGUGGCGACGAUUUUGUUUGAUGUUUUUGGCUGGCUAUUGGAUACGAUGGCUGGUCGGAGUGAUGUACUGCGAUGGUUUCUUCUUGCCUAUUCUGUGAAGGAGUGUUUGGGUGUGGUGGUUAUUGAAAAUGGUAUAGGUGCUGAUGGCAGUGAUUGUUGAGGCGACGACGAUGACAAUAAAGAGAUUACGUUUUGGAUCUGAUUUGUGUUGGAUAUUGGUUAAAUAAAUCGAGAAUUGAAAAUCGAUUAAAGUGACUUCGUAUCGACUUCGACCAAAUACUCAAAAGCUCGACUCAAUCCGUUUAAGCAAAAUUGUUUGCCACUUCGCCGCUUCGGGGCGCACAAACGGGGAUCGACCUGCCCGGUCAGGUCGCGAGGGUCGAGGGGGCAGCGCCCUUCGUGGGGGGUCGGGGGCAACGCCCCCGAAAGAGAAUUUUGAUUUCUCUGCAUGUAUUGAAAGGUAUAUUUGGCAUUUCGAAAACCAAUAUCGGAUGAAUGAGAAAUUACGAAAAAGAACGAAAAUCAGUGAAUAGACACCUUUUCAUUUCAUAAAGGUGGUGCAUUGUUUGGAAAGGGUGCAUGGUUUGACCCCAACCAUUUCGUCCACACCCUUUCAUGGUCUAUAAAUAGGACCCUUUGGGUGUCCUAUUCCUCACAGUUUGAUAUGCAAAACGUCUCUCAUCCUCUCUUCUAUCCAAAAUCAAAAUCAUUCGUUUAUUUUGAUUUUCUUUCAUUUCAUCAUUGGAGUACAUAAACCUAAAUUUGGUUCGUUGUACUUGUGUUUUGGAGUGCUACAAACACAAGUGUAGCCGUUGUAUCUUGGGAGUCGAUUGUCGAAAUCCGUAGGCACCGUUGCGGGGCAAAUUCGACUUAAGGACAAAGAGUCCAACUCUUGCCUCGGCUUUGUCCCUAUCUUUAUACUUAUUUUUGGCGUCUCUAUUCACAAAAUUCUUCCAACAAUUUGUUGAUGGAGAGCUAGUGGGGGUGAGGCGGUAGUGAUGGUGCCGCUGCUUGUAGUUGCGGUGGGGUGUGGCUGUAGUCGCAACGAUGAUGGUGUGGUUGUUGGUGGCCACGACAACGACUGCUUGAAAAUGGGGUUGAUGCUUGUGAUUGGUUGAUUAUGUAUGACUAAUACUUGGUUAAUUUGUAAUAUGUGAUCUAAAAGUUUUGACUGUGACUUACAAUUGAUUAAUUUGUGACCCCAAAAUUGAUUGUGACCAAUUAAUCUAAUAAUUUACAGUAAAUAAAUGAGAUCCUAUUUGUCAAGCGAGGGAAUCUCUUCAUAAUUUCAAUUUGGAAAAUAAGCUCGUGAAGGAAAAGUCACUCGCUCGUAAAGCAUCAUGGCACAAG